GACGUAGGGGGCCAGCGUUGGUUCGGAAUUACUGGGGUGUAAAGGGUUCGUAGGCGGUGUGGCAAGGUCGGGAGGUGAAAUCUCUGGGCUCAACCCAGAGACUGCUCCGAAACGUGCUGUGCUUGAGUGUGAGAGAGGCUCGUGGAAUUGCAGGUGUAGCGGUGAAAUGCGUAGAUAUCUGCAGGAACGACCCGUGGCGAAAAGCGGGCGAGCUGGAUCACUGACUGACGGCUGGAGGAACGAAAGCUAGGGGAGCAAACAGG
rnacentral:rRNA from 1 species